GGGGAAUCUUCCGCAAUGGACGAAAGUCUGACGGAGCGACGCCGCGUGUACGAAGAAGGCCUUCGGGUUGUAAAGUACUGUUGUUGGGGAAGAACGGCUCAAGUGUGAAUAAUGCUUGAGAUUGACGGUACCCAACGAGGAAGCCCCGGCUAACUACGUGCCAGCAGCCGCGGUAACACGUAGGGGGCGAGCGUUGUCCGGAAUUAUUGGGCGUAAAGGGCGCGUAGGCGGCCGUUUAAGUCUGAUGUGAAAGUGCGGGGCUUAACCCCGUAAAGCAUUGGAAACUGGAUGGCUUGAGGACAGGAGAGGAAAGUGGAAUUCCUAGUGUAGCGGUGAAAUGCGUAGAUAUUAGGAGGAACACCAGUGGCGAAGGCGACUUUCUGGACUGUUUCUGACGCUGAGGCGCGAAAGCGUGGGUAGCGAAC
rnacentral:rRNA from 1 species